CUGUGAUAGGCCAGCGCGGGGCGGGCGCGUGACGCGCGCGGGGCGCCCGCCAGCUUGAAGCGGCGCGCGGGGCGGCGGUUGGCGCCGUCAUGGAGGUGCUGACUUUUCCCCGUUACAGCCCUGAUGAUAUCGUCGCCUAUCUCCGCAGCCACGUCCUGGCGGGAGCCGAAGCCCGCAGCCUCACCAAGGCCGACCUGUUCGCUACUCUGAAGCCUGAGGUUUUGCACAUGAUUUUCAUACGAAUUCUGCAGAAGGUAUACGGGAUCCGCCUGGAGCACUUCUACAUGAUGCCAGUCAACGUUGACAUAGUGUAUCCGCAGAUAUUUGAAGGCUUUCUACCUGUUUGUAAUCUGUAUAUUCAUAUGGAGCGCUUCCUUCCCGUGUGCCGGAUUAACGAUUUUCAAAUUGCUGAUGUUAUAAAUCCAAAGGCCAAGAGGACAGCUCGCUUCUUGAGUGGCAUUCUCAACUUUGUACACUUCAGAGAAUGCCGACGUGAGGCCUACUUGGAGUUGCAGCUGAACUAUAAAACUGCAAUGGAGAAACAUCAACAACUGGAGACAGCAAAUCAGGAAUUAGAAAUGAAGCUGGAGAAACUGAACACUGUCCCAGUUGAGCAGCAAGCAGAGUUCAAGCAACUGUCAGAUGACAUUCAAGAACUGGAGCAACUUCUAAGCCAUGAUUAUCGUCGGAAAACAGCAGCAUUGCAAGAAUUGAUUUCACAAAAGAAAUCAGAUAUUACAGAGAGGACUCGAAAACUGAAUGAACUUAAAGUGACAAUGGCUACUUUGAAAGAAGAACAAGAGCAGCUGAAAUCAAAAAUUGUGGAGAGUCCAGAGGAAUUGAAGAAUUAUAAGGAACUAAUGAAAGAGACUGUUAAGAAACUCAAGAGAUCCAAGCAAGAGGUUAUUGAGAAAUACGAAGGUUAUCGAGACCUGGUUGAAGGUCUACCGUCGUGCCAAUUGGAGGUGCAGCUGUAUCAGAAGAAGAUGGAAAGACAGGCAGCAAAUGUGGAAAGACUGGCCAGUGUAUUAUCAGAGGUCAGAAAUCUGGAAGACCAGCUUGAGAGUGCUCAAAUAGAGCUGAAAAAAGGGAAGACGGAUGAGAUGUCCUUAAAGAGACUAGUCACUGCAAAGCACGAGAGGCUGUCUACAGCUGAAAUAAGGAUAAAGAAGAAACGUGAAGAUGUUGAGCAAUAUAAGCACACUGUAUUUGAAUAUUUUAACAGAGUUCAGGAAAAGAGGGGUGCUGUGUAUGAUAAAGUGACAGCAAUUCAGAAGGAAAUCCAGCAGACAAGGUUCAAAAUCCAACAACUGAAUGAGAACGCCGAAAAAGAAGAAAUGAAAGCUAAAGUAGGGUUAGAUCAUGAACGCAGCUCAUCUGCUGUGUGCUGCUGGCAGUUGGCUGAUCUGCAAGUCUAUCCGUGUGCCCUGUUGAGAGAGAUUCCUUCUGUCUCUGGAAGAAGACGACUUGUCCAAGGAGCAGCAACAGCCUUUGGAGAAUGGAAAACCACAGAAGGAACUGGAAUGGUCUAUGAAAAUCAACCCAACCACCUCUUCAAACACCUGGGGCCGUGGGUGACCUUCCAGGCUUUGCUGUUACACCAUUUCAGGAGCCCUCCUUCCCCCUGGGGCUGGCUGUGCUUGGAAGCAGAGGAGGCCUGCGGUGUUGCCAAGUCUGUUGCUGCAGACCUCUCCCUGGAGUUCCCCAAGAGAAGGGGUGAAGGCUCUUUCUGAUCCCACUGCGCAUCUCUGUGGGCUCUGCUGACCUCACGCGGAGAGCACCACGAGGAGGAAGAGGACUCAGCAUGCGUCUGGACUUUGCAGCCAGCUCUGGACCACAAGCUCCUUGCCCAGAUACAUGCUAGACUCUUGCCGAAUUCCCUCGCCAUAUGGGACGUGCGUGGUGCUGCUUCCUCCUGGCUGCUGGGAGGGUGGCUGUCACUCGUGGGGUUCUGCACCGGCUCUGAAGCUCCGUGCGUGGGAACAGCUCCUGGCGGCCUCUUUCAGCGCAUCCCAUUCUGUUCAGAGACAGUUCCUGCAAGUAUUUCUUCUCCAGGUGUAGCUGCUUUCUCUCCCCCGCAUUUCAGCCAUGAGACAGACAGAAGUUGCAUUCAGCUGAGAGCCGGAGGCUUCUCUCGGUACAAAUCGCCCUGCAAUCCUGCCAUAUUUGGGAUGGAGAAAGGAAGACGAUCUGCAACCAGACCACAGAGGCAGCUCAGAGACCCAGUGACUCCCACUGCUGCCCCAGGCAUGCUGUGGGUCCCUGUUUGACCGAAGCAGCUGAACACGUGUGACUGAAGUGCUCCUUCCAUGCACUGUCGGACCAUGGAUACCAGCAGCUCCCAGAGAGGUGGAGGACAGCCACUGGGAUCUCUCUCAUUACCUGUGGCUGUCCCUACCUGAGCAACCCCUUGGGUCUUCCAGCAGCAUUAAGGACACCACAAGAAACUGCGUCAGCCCCU